AUGAGGUGUGGAUAGGGGAGAAAUUCCAAUCGAACCCGGAGAUAGCUGGUUCUCCUCGAAAUAGCUUUAGGGCUAGCCUCAUACAAGUCUUGCGGAGGUAGAGCACUGAAUUCCUACGGGGGCGUCAAAGCUUACCAAGGGAUAUCAAACUCCGAAUGCCGUGUAGAUGAUGUAUGGGAGUCAGACUAUCCGAGAUAAGUUGGGUAGUCGAAAGGGAAAGAGCCCAGACCUGCAGCUAAGGCCCCAAAAUGUGUGUUAAGUGGAAAAGGAUGUGGGAUUUCGAAGACAACUAGGAUGUUGGCUUAGAAGCAGCCAUCCAUUAAAAGAGUGCGUAAUAGCUCACUAGUCGAGAGGUCCUGCGCCGAAAAUGUCCGGGGCUGAAACACACUGCCGAAGCUCAGGAAUCUGCGAAUGCAGGUUGGUAGAGGAGCAUUCUUAAAGAGACGAAGCUGUACCGAAAGGAGCAGUGGAUUUUUAAGAAGAGAGAAUGCCGGAAUGAGUAGCGAGAAAGAGGUGAGAAUCCUCUUGGCCGAAUAUCUAAGGUUUCCAGGGUAAAGCUGAUCUGCCCUGGGUAAGUCGGGGCCUAAGGCGAGGUCGAAAGACGUAGUCGAUGGAUAACAGGUUGAAAUUCCUGUACUAUCCUGUAACAGAACUGUGGGGACGCAGACAGAGAGCACAAGCCGGGAAUGGAAAGACCGGUGCAAGCGAGGUAGGAGUACAUCAGGCAAAUCCGGUGUGCAAUCCGAAGACGUGACGCGGAUCGAAAAGAAGUAGAGAAGUGUGUGAGCUGGCUGCCAAGAAAAGCCGCUAUUGUUUACAGGAUACCCGUACCGUAAACCGACACAGGUGGAUGAGGAGAGAAUCCUAAGGCCGACGGGAGAAGCAUUGUUAAGGAACUCGGCAAAAUGACUCCGUAACUUCGGGAGAAGGAGUGCCAUGUAAAAGUGGCCGCAGAGAAUUGGCCCAAGCAACUGUUUAGCAAAAACACAGGUCUAUGCAAAACCGAAAGGUGAGGUAUAUGGGCUGACGCCUGCCCGGUGCUGGAAGGUUAAGGGGAGAGGUUAGCGCAAGCGAAGCUUUGAACUUAAGCCCCAGUAAACGGCGGCCGUAACUAUAACGGUCCUAAGGUAGCGAAAUUCCUUGUCGGGUAAGUUCCGACCCGCACGAAAGGCGUAAUGAUUUGGGCACUGUCUCAACAAUGCACCCGGUGAAAUUGAAAUACCAGUGAAGAUGCUGGUUACCUGCGCCAGGACGGAAAGACCCCAUGGAGCUUUACUCCAGCUUGAUACUGGGAUUCGGUACUGCAUGUACAGGAUAGGUGGGAGACUGAGAAAGAAGGACGCCAGUCCUUUUGGAGUCACUGUUGGGAUACCACCCUUGCAGUAUUGGAUUUCUAACCAACAGCCAUGAUCUGGUUGGGGGACAAUGUCAGGUGGGGAGUUUGACUGGGGCGGUCGCCUCCGAAAGGGUAUCGGAGGCGCUCAAAGGU
rnacentral:rRNA from 1 species